rnacentral:rRNA from 1 species
CGCUGGCGGCGUGCUUAACACAUGCAAGUCGAACGGUAAGGCCCUUCGGGGGUACACGAGUGGCGAACGGGUGAGUAACACGUGGGUGAUCUGCCCUGCACUUUGGGAUAAGCCUGGGAAACUGGGUCUAAUACCGAAUAGGACCAUGGACUUCACGGUUUGUGGUGGAAAGCUUUUGCGGUGUGGGAUGGGCCCGCGGCCUAUCAGCUUGUUGGUGGGGUAAUGGCCUACCAAGGCGACGACGGGUAGCCGGCCUGAGAGGGUGACCGGCCACACUGGGACUGAGAUACGGCCCAGACUCCUACGGGAGGCAGCAGUGGGGAAUAUUGCACAAUGGGCGCAAGCCUGAUGCAGCGACGCCGCGUGAGGGAUGACGGCCUUCGGGUUGUAAACCUCUUUCAGCACAGACGAAGCGCAAGUGACGGUAUGUGCAGAAGAAGGACCGGCCAACUACGUG